UACGUAGGGGGCAAGCGUUGUCCGGAAUCAUUGGGCGUAAAGAGCGUGUAGGUGGCUCGGUAAGUCCGCUGUGAAAGUCCAGGGCUCAACCCUGGAAAGCCGGUGGAAACUGUCGAGCUCGAGUCCGGAAGAGGCGAGUGGAAUUCCUGGUGUAGCGGUGAAAUGCGCAGAUAUCAGGAGGAACACCAAUGGCGAAGGCAGCUCGCUGGGACGGUACUGACACUGAGACGCGAAAGCGUGGGGAGCAAACGGG
rnacentral:rRNA from 1 species